rnacentral:rRNA from 1 species
GAACUAUUGUUAAGGAACUCUGCAAAAUGAGUCCGUAACUUCGGAAGAAGGACUGCUGGUUUUAUACCAGCCGCAGCAAAUAGGCCCAAACAACUGUUUAUCAAAAACACAGGUUUCUGCAAAAUCGUAAGAUGAAGUAUAGGGGCUGACGCCUGCCCAGUGCUGGAAGGUUAAAAGGAGGACUUAGCUUCGGCGAAGGUCUUAAUUGAAGCCCCAGUGAACGGCGGCCGUAACUAUAACGGUCCUAAGGUAGCGAAAUUCCUUGUCGGGUAAGUUCCGACCCGCAUGAAAGGCGUAAUGAUUUGGGCGCUGUCUCAACAAUAGACUCGGUGAAAUUUAAAUUCCAGUGAAGAUGCUGGGUACCCGCGACAGGACGGAAAGACCCCGUGGAGCUUUACUGUAGCUUGAUAUUGAAUGUUUGUGCUGCAUGUGCAGGAUAGGUA